CUAGCCUAAUAUGAUUUUUUAUGAAUUACAAGAAGAAUCAUAGAAAAAUAUCGCUUGGAUCAUUAAAUAAUGCAAAAGAUAUUGUUCUUUAAGUCCAAAGUUGAAAUUUUCAAUUUCUUGAUAUAAUUGAAAUUCAAUUCUUGCUAGAUUUUAAUUCUCUCUCAAAAUAUAGCAAUUUACCUCUUGCUCUUGAUGAAUUUGAUGAUAUAAUUUUGCAUUAAGAGAGUAGAGAGACUAUCCAAUGUUUUGCCCAAGUUUGGUAUUUAUAGGAGUAAAAAAUGGAGACAAAAUCACGAUAAAUCAAAAUUAAAUGGCAAUUUCAAGUCAAACAAGAAUUUACAGACUUGGUCCCCCAAUUUGUGCUAAGCGCACACCAACCUAUGAUCUCCAUGCUCGCCAUAAGCAUUGUUGGCUCUGAGAAUGUCAAUGAGUCGAGCCGAAACUCAAGGCUCUUGCUUGACUCGAGUAAAAUCAAACGAGCUUUUUCGAGCCCGAGGUAGUCGUCAGCUACCUUUGUUCUAAAUUUUUUUUUUUUUUUUUUAAUUAAGGCCUGUGCCAAUUGACAUCCCUAGUUGGCUCCCUGCUACGAAUGCACUGACAUUUUUUCUGUGCUCGCACCUAUUACUUUCAUUUUAGUGCAUUUCAGUCGCUGUUUUAUUCCAAUAUACAUUUUUAAUUUUUUUUUUUUUUUUUUGGUUUGAUUUUGAUCCUUCAUAUUUCAAUUACUUCCAACUUAUUUUUGUUAUGAGGUCCAAAUAGGAAAUGUGCAAUUUGGUCCCGAAACUUUGGAUUAAGUCUAUUUUCUCUCGUUUUUCGCCCCUCCUGUCCAAUUCACCCAACUUGCAUCAAGUUUUACCUAACAAACAUAACUAAGACAUAAUUAAGCUAUAAAUCAUACAAAUCAACAAUAAAUAUCAUAGUUGUUAUGACAAGUGUACAAAAUAUACUUAUCAAUAAUCAAAUUCAAAAUUUAAUAGGUGGAUAAGGAAAAAAUUUAUCAUGAUUUUCCAAAUAAAAAUAUUAAUACAACAAUUCCAAAUGAUAUGCAUUUGUAUAUAAGCAUGUAUUAUCAUAAUAUUUGGAAAUUAUAUGACAUUGUUGUUAGUGAAAGAAUAAUGUCCCGCUCGGUGUUGCC
rnacentral:lncRNA from 1 species